AAGUAAUUUUAGACAGGUCAAAGGGUUACUU
rnacentral:piRNA from 1 species